GUGUCAGUAGGAUAACGACGGCCGAUCCGUUUCGUUCGGCCCGACACUUUUGCCUGACUCGACUCUUAGGAAUUGGAACACGACUGCAUAACUAGAGAAAGGGAUUGCGCCAUGGUAUACGAUCGUAGAAUCAUAAAAAUCAUCGAUAACCAAGCGCUUCGAAAACACACGUUAUUCAGCUCGCUCGAGGCGGAGCGAACGUUUGCUCGUUGCACGCUCGUGAAACAGCCGAGUUCCGUGUUUUU